rnacentral:rRNA from 1 species
UACAGAGGUCCCGAGCGUUGUUCGGAUUCACUGGGCGUAAAGGGUGCGUAGGUGGCCAUGCAAGUUCGAUGUGAAAUCUCCGGGCUUAACCCGGAAAAGGCAUUGAAAACUCUGUGGCUGGAGGUUUGGAGGGGGGACUGGAAUUCCCAGUGUAGCGGUGAAAUGCGUAGAUAUUGGGAGGAACACCAGUGGCGAAGGCGGCUCACUGGACCGGAACUGACGCUGAGGCGCGAAAGCGUGGGGAGCAAACGGG